rnacentral:rRNA from 1 species
UACGUAGGGUGCUAGCGUUGUCCGGAUUAUUGGGCGUAAAGAGCUCGUAGGCGGUUUGUCGCGUCUGCUGUGAAAUCCCGAGGCUCAACCUCGGGCCUGCAGUCGAUACGGGCAAACUAGAGUACUGCAGGGGAGACUGGAAUUCCUGGUGUAGCGGUGAAAUGCGCAGAUAUCAGGAGGAACACCGGUGGCGAAGGCGGGUCUCUGGGCAGUAACUGACGCUGAGGAGCGAAAGCGUGGGGAGCGAACGG